AUUGAACGCUGGCGGCAGGCCUAACACAUGCAAGUCGAGCGGAGCGGCGGACGGGUGAGUAAUGCCUAGGAAUCUGCCUGGUAGUGGGGGAUAACGUCCGGAAACGGGCCCUAAUACCGCAUACUAUCAGAUGAGCCUAGGUUGGAUUAGCUAGAUGGUGGGGUAAAGGCUUACCAAGGCGACGAUCCGUAACUGGUCUGAGAGGAUGAUCGGUCACACUGGGACUGAGACACGGUCCAGACUCCUACGGGAGGCAGCAGUGGGGAAUAUUGGACAAUGGGCGAAAGCCUGAUCCAGCCAUGCCGCGUGUGUGAAGAAGGUCUUCGGAUUGUAAAGCACUUUAAGUUGGGAGGCGUUACCCGCAGAGGAAGCACCGGCUAACUCCGUGCCAGCAGCCGCGGUAAUUC
rnacentral:rRNA from 1 species